UACGAAGGGGGCUAGCGUUGCUCGGAAUCACUGGGCGUAAAGCGCACGUAGGCGGCUUUUUAAGUCAAGGGUGAAAUCCUGGAGCUCAACUCCAGAACUGCCUUUGAUACUGGGAAGCUUGAGUCCGGAAGAGGUGAGUGGAACUCCGAGUGUAGAGGUGAAAUUCGUAGAUAUUCGGAAGAACACCAGUGGCGAAGGCGGCUCACUGGUCCGGUACUGACGCUGAGGUGCGAAAGCGUGGGGAGCAAACAGG
rnacentral:rRNA from 1 species